UGUAAAUGUGCUGCCAGGCAGACAAAGACACUGAACUCUCAGCUUGAGGCAGAACUGAGCACAUUUGAGCAGGGGAAUCCAUGCCUCAUGCCGCUCUCCAGCCUGCUCUGGGUGUUCCUGGCCUUCACCUUCUCUGGAUCUGGUGUGGCCCAGAAAGUUACUCAAGACCAGCCAGACAUAUCCAGUCAAGUUGGGGAGUUAGCCACCAUGAACUGUCAGUAUGAGACAAGUUGGAGGAGUUAUAACAUUUUUUGGUAUAAGCAGCUUCCCAGUGGAGAGAUGAUUUACCUUAUUAGUCAGAGUUCUUAUGGCCCGAAUGCAAGGGAUGGCCGCUACUCCAUAAAUUUUCAGAGAUCACUUAAAGCCAUCACCCUCAUUAUUUCAUCCUUAAAGCUGGAAGACUCUGCAAAGUACUUCUGUGCUCUCUGGGAACUCACAGUGCUUGAAGUGAUAGGAAAAGCUGCACAAAAACUCCCGAGCUGGAUAAGAGAGAGGACCCCCCUCCCCCCACAAACCCGCCCCCUUCCACUCCCGCUGCAGGACGACCGCCAAAAUACACACCUGCAGACCCCAGACAAGAAAUGGUAG